rnacentral:SRP_RNA from 1 species
GCUGGGCAUGGUGGUGCGUGCUUGUAAUCCCAGCUACUUAGGAGGCUGAGGCAGGAGAAUCGCUUGAACCCGGGAGGCAGAGGUUGCAGUGAGCGGAGAUCGCGCCACUGCACUCCAGCCUGGGUGACAGAGCGAGAUUCCGCCUCAA